rnacentral:rRNA from 1 species
UACGUAGGGUGCAAGCGUUAAUCGGAAUUACUGGGCGUAAAGCGUGCGCAGGCGGUUUUGUAAGUCUGACGUGAAAUCCCCGGGCUUAACCUGGGAAUUGCGUUGGAGACUGCAAGGCUGGAGUCUGGCAGAGGGGGGUAGAAUUCCACGUGUAGCAGUGAAAUGCGUAGAGAUGUGGAGGAACACCGAUGGCGAAGGCAGCCCCCUGGGUCAAGACUGACGCUCAUGCACGAAAGGCGUGGGGAGCAAACAGG